rnacentral:rRNA from 2 species
GUUGUAUGGUUAAGUGACUAAGCGUACACGGUGGAUGCCUUGGCAGUUGGAGGCGAUGAAGGACGUACUAACUUGCGAUAAGCCUAGUUGAGCCAGUAAGAGGCGCUUGAGACUAGGAUUUCCGAAUGGGGAAACCCACCUGUUUACAGGUAUCAUAUGGUGAAUACAUAGCCAUAUGAGGCGAACGCGGAGAACUGAAACAUCUAAGUACCCGUAGGAAAAGAAAUCAACCGAGAUUCCGAUAGUAGCGGCGAGCGAAAUCGGACCAGCCCUUAAGCUUUAGUGUAGUUAGUGGAACAUUCUGGAAAGUUUGACGACACAGGGUGAUAGUCCCGUACACAAAAACUUAUCUAAAGUGAAAUCGAGUAGGUCGGAGCACGUGAAACUUUGACUGAAUAUGGGGGGACCAUCCUCCAAGGCUAAAUACUCCCAACUGACCGAUAGUGAACCAGUACCGUGAGGGAAAGGCGAAAAGAACCCCUGUGAGGGGAGUGAAAUAGAACCUGAAACCGUGUACGUACAAGCAGUAGGAGCAGGCUCGUCCUGUGACUGCGUACCUUUUGUAUAAUGGGUCAGCGACUUAUAUUUUGUAGCGAGGUUAACCGAUUAGGGUAGCCGUAGCGAAAGCGAGUCUUAACUGGGCGCUUAGUUGCAAGGUAUAGACCCGAAACCCGGUGAUCUAGCCAUGGGCAGGUUGAAGGUUGAGUAACAUCAACUGGAGGACCGAACCCACUAACGUUGAAAAGUUAGGGGAUGACCUGUGGCUAGGAGUGAAAGGCUAAUCAAACCGGGAGAUAGCUGGUUCUCCCCGAAAUCUAUUUAGGUAGAGCCUCGGACGAAUACUUACGGGGGUAGAGCACUGUUAAGGCUAGGGGGUCAUCCCGACUUACCAACCCUUUGCAAACUCCGAAUACCGUAAAGUACUAUCCGGGAGACACACGGCGGGUGCUAACGUCCGUCGUGAAGAGGGAAACAACCCAGACCGCCAGCUAAGGUCCCAAAGUGUAUGUUAAGUGGGAAACGAUGUGGGAAGGCUAAAACAGCUAGGAGGUUGGCUUAGAAGCAGCCACCCUUUAAAGAAAGCGUAAUAGCUCACUAGUCGAGUCGGCCUGCGCGGAAGAUGUAACGGGGCUAAACAUACCACCGAAGCUGCGGCUGCGAAUAUACCACCCAAACUAUUUUAAGAUUAACGUUGACGCACGAAGUGCCCAACGGUCAAGCGUUCAACGUGUUGAGUUGGACAGAGAUAGUUUCGGGGUAUAUUCGCGGGGUAGGGGAGCGUUCUGUAAGCGGUUGAAGGUGUACCGGGAGGUAUGCUGGACGUAUCAGAAGUGCGAAUGCUGACAUGAGUAACGAUAAGAGGAGUGAAAAACUCCUCCGCCGGAAGACCAAGGGUUCCUAUCCCAUGUUAAUCAGGGUAGGGUAAGUCGACCCCUAAGGCGAGGCUGAAGAGCGUAGUCGAUGGGAAACGGGUUAAUAUUCCCGUACUUGGAAUAAUUGCGAUGGGGGGACGGAGCAGGCUAAGUAAGCAUGGCGUUGGUUGUCCAUGUGAAAGUGUGUAGGCUGAGAACUUAGGAAAAUCCGGGUUCUUAAGGCUGAGACACGAGACGAGCAUCUACGGAUGUGAAGUUACUGAUGCCCUACUUCCAGGAAAAGCCUCUAAGCUUCAGAUUAUUUCGAAUCGUACCCCAAACCGACACAGGUGGUCAGGUAGAGAAUACUAAGGCGCUUGAGAGAACUCGGGUGAAGGAACUAGGCAAAAUUGUACCGUAACUUCGGGAGAAGGUACGCUGACAUUAGGUGAAGAGCUUCGCGCUUGGAGCUGAAGUCAGCCGCAGUGACCAGGUGGCUGGGACUGUUUAUUAAAAACACAGCACUGUGCAAAAUCGUAAGAUGACGUAUACGGUGUGACACCUGCCCGGUGCCGGAAGGUUAAUUGAUGGGGUUAGACUUAGGUCGAAGCUCUUGAUCGAAGCCCCGGUAAACGGCGGCCGUAACUAUAACGGUCCUAAGGUAGCGAAAUUCCUUGUCGGGUAAGUUCCGACCUGCACGAAUGGUGUAACCAUGGCCACGCUGUCUCCACCCGAGACUCAGUGAAAUUGAAAUCGCAGUGAAGAUGCUGUGUACCCGCGGCUAGACGGAAAGACCCCGUGAACCUUUACUACAGCUUGGCACUGAACAUUGACCCUACAUGUGUAGGAUAGGUGGGAGGCUUUGAAGCGCAGACGCUAGUUUGUGUGGAGCCGUCCUUGAAAUACCACCCUUGUAGUGUUGAUGUUCUAACUUAGGCCCCUAAUCGGGGUUGAGGACAGUGCCUGGUGGGUAGUUUGACUGGGGCGGUCUCCUCCCAAAGAGUAACGGAGGAGCACGAAGGUUGGCUAAGUACGGUCGGACAUCGUACGGUUAGUGUAAUGGUAGAAGCCAGCUUAACUGCGAGACAGACACGUCGAGCAGGUACGAAAGUAGGUCAUAGUGAUCCGGUGGUUCUGAAUGGAAGGGCCAUCGCUCAACGGAUAAAAGGUACUCCGGGGAUAACAGGCUGAUACCGCCCAAGAGUUCAUAUCGACGGCGGUGUUUGGCACCUCGAUGUCGGCUCAUCACAUCCUGGGGCUGAAGUCGGUCCCAAGGGUAUGGCUGUUCGCCAUUUAAAGUGGUACGCGAGCUGGGUUUAGAACGUCGUGAGACAGUUCGGUCCCUAUCUGCCGUGGGCGUUUGAGAAUUGAGAGGGGCUGCUCCUAGUACGAGAGGACCGGAGUGGACGAACCGCUGGUGUUCGGGUUGUGAUGCCAAUUGCAUUGCCCGGUAGCUACGUUCGGAAUCGAUAACCGCUGAAAGCAUCUAAGCGGGAAGCGAGCCUCGAGAUGAGUUCUCACUUUAACUUUAAGUUAACUGAAGGGCCGUUGAAGACUACAACGUUGAUAGGCUGGGUGUGGAAGUGUAGUGAUACAUUAAGCUAACCAGUACUAAUUACCCGUGAGGCUUAACCAUACAACGCCAAAGUGGUUU